GGAUACAGACCUGCUCUCUCUCUCCAUCCCCUCUGAACUUAAAAGUCCUGCAGAACUUCAGACCUAUUUUGUAGUCAACAGCAAAGACCAGUGACAUGAUGAAGGCGGCCAUUAUUUUCACUCUGCUCCUGACCACUGUGCUGUGCAGACCGGCCAGGAGAACAUUCACCAGCUCAGAGAGCUCAGAGGAACAGGU